rnacentral:lncRNA from 1 species
UUUGAUGAGUGGUCAGAUGACCGUGUGAUGUGAUCCAUUCAGGUUGGAUCACGAGUAUAUCGAGGGUUGUGGUACAACCCAGAAGAGAGUAAGUUGAUAUUCGGUAACAGUAAACUAGAUAAGCACUUGUUGUGAUCUUUGUCAUGCUAGUGAGGUAGAUUACAUGUUUAGUCCAUGACAUGCUAUGCUUGAUUUAUAUUUUUCCUGUUGAUUCCAUGCCAUGCUUAGAAUAGCUUAUAUAAUCAUAGUGCUUGCUUUGUUACAUGUUUGUUUGGAUGCCGUGUAUUUGGUUGUCUUGCGAGUACAUUCAAAGUACUCACCUGGCCUUGCACGUGGCCAGUUGCAGGAGAAGACUUGUCGUGCUAGAUCGUAACCAAGCCAGUCCUACGAGUUAUGGAGCCCAGCCAGGGACAUCGAAGCCACUGUAUCAAUACCUCUGCUACCAUUUAGCUAGCCUUGGAGUCAUGUAAUAUUGUUGUAAGCAACAAUAUUGUAAUACUCCAUUACUUUAAUAAAGCCAUAUUUGCCUAGAAUUUCUGUAUCAUGCUCUUGACGUGCGUCCGGUCUUAUUGUGGGGACGGACGUGUGUCGGCCCUCUAUCGGGGUGCCACACUAUGAACUCGACCUAUUUUUUUGUAAAUAUGACUAGUUCAUCGUUCCUAAUUCAGCUUUGUUAUGAGAGAAACAUGUUUGCAAUGACAACUUAGAGAUCAUAGUUUCUGAUGCCAUGCUUAAUAAGCUAGGAGCUUAUAAUGGUUUGUCUUGGAUGCCAACAUGAAUUUCAAGAUGAUUAUGAUGUAGUAUGAUAGGAUGGUAUCCUCCUUUGAAUGAUUCAAGUGGCUUGACUUGGCACAUGUUCACGCAUGUAGUUGAAACAAAAUCAACAUAGCCUCUACGAUAUUCAUGUUUAUGGUGAUUUAUAUCC